AUAACAGGGGAGCUGGGAUAGGCCGGCUGAGAGUGUGUUCCCAACAACACAGACCCUUACACCUGAUCCGGGUAAUGCCGGCGUAGGAAUUCAU
rnacentral:ncRNA from 1 species